rnacentral:rRNA from 1 species
UACGGGAGGCAGCAGUGGGGAAUUUUGGACAAUGGGGGAAACCCUGAUCCAGCCAUGCCGCGUGAGUGAAGAAGGCCUUCGGGUUGUAAAGCUCUUUCAGCCGGAAAGAAAUGGUUACGGUUAAUACCCGUGACUAAUGACGGUACCGGAAGAAGAAGCACCGGCUAACUACGUGCCAGCAGCCGCGGUAAU